UUGAAGGUGGCGUAGAGUUUGCCUGAGG
rnacentral:piRNA from 1 species